rnacentral:rRNA from 1 species
UGGAUCCAGACUUUGAUUAUGGCUCAGGACGAACGCUGGCGGCGUGCUUAACACAUGCAAGUCGAACGAGAAUCUAAUGACGGAGUUUUCGGACAACUGAUUUAGAGGACAGUGGCGGACUGGUGAGUAACGCGUGAGGAACCUGCCUUUCAGAGGGGGACAACAGUUGGAAACGACUGCUAAUACCGCAUGACGCAUUUUGAUCGCAUGGUCGAAAUGCCAAAGAUUUAUCGCUGAAAGAUGGCCUCGCGUCUGAUUAGCUAGUUGGUGAGGUAACGGCCCACCAAGGCGACGAUCAGUAGCCGGACUGAGAGGUUGACCGGCCACAUUGGGACUGAGAUACGGCCCAGACUCCUACGGGAGGCAUCAGUGGGGAAUAUUGGGCAAUGGGCGCAAGCCUGACCCAGCAACGCCGCGUGAAGGAAGAAGGCUUUCGGGUUGUAAACUUCUUUUAAGUGGGAAGAGCAGAAGACGGUACCACUUGAAUAAGCCACGGCUAACUACGUGCCAGCAGCCGCGGUAAUACGUA